rnacentral:rRNA from 1 species
GACGAACGCUGGCGGCGUGCUUAACACAUGCAAGUCGAACGGAGUGGCGAACGGGUGAGUAACACGUGGGUGACCUGCCCUGCACUUCGGGAUAAGCCUGGGAAACUGGGUCUAAUACCGGAUAGUGUGGGAUGGGCCCGCGGCCUAUCAGCUUGUUGGUGGGGUAAUGGCCUACCAAGGCGGCGACGGGUAGCCGGCCUGAGCGGGUGGAAGGCCACAGUGGGACGGAGACACGGCCCAGACUCAUACGGGAGGCAGCAGUGGGGAAUAUUGAACAAUGGGCGGAAGCCUGAUGCAGCGACGCCGCGUGGGGGAUGACGGCCAUCGGGUUGUAAACUCCGUUCAACAUCGACGCGGGAGAUGGAGAAGAAGCACCGGCUAACUACGUGCAAGCCGCCGCGGUAAUAG